rnacentral:rRNA from 1 species
CCUACGGGUGGCAGCAGUGAGGAAUAUUGGUCAAUGGCCGAGAGGCUGAACCAGCCAAGUCGCGUGAGGGAAGACGGCCCUACGGGUUGUAAACUUCUUUUGUCGGGGAGUAAAGUGAACCACGUGUGCCUUAUUGAGUGUACUUGAUGAAAAAGCAUCGGCUAACUCCGUGCCAGCAGCCGCGGUAAUACGGAGGAUUCGAGCGUUAUCCGGAUUUAUUGGGUUUAAAGGGUGCGGAGGUGGGUUGUGAAGUCAGGGGUGAAAUUUUGGGGCUCAACCCCGGAAUUGCGUUUGAUACUGGCUCUCUUGAGUACAGUAGAGGUAUGCGGAAUGCGUGGUGUAGCGGUGAAAUGCAUAGAUAUCACGCAGAACUCCGAUUGCGAAGGCAGCAUACCGGCGCGCAACUGACACUGAUGCUCGAAAGCGUGGGUAUCGAACAGGAUUAGAUACCCGAGUAGUC